rnacentral:rRNA from 1 species
AGGGCCGCGGUANUUUGACCGUGCAAAGGUAGCAUAAUAAUUAGUCUUUUAAUUGGAGGCUGGAAUGAAUGGUCGGAUGAGGGACAUUCUGUCUUUUCUCUUUUUUUAAAAUUUAACUUUUUAGUGAAAAGGCUGAAAUUUUUUGGAGGGACGAUAAGACCCUAUAAAACUUAAUAAAUUAUAGUUUAACUUAAGAUUUGUGUGUAAUUUAGGUUAAGUUUAUAUUUUAUUUAGUUGGGGCGACUUGGAUAUAAAAUUUUGUAACUGUUUUUAAAAAUUAAUAGUUUUAACUAGUUUUUGAACCUGUUUUAUGGAUUAAAAGAUUAAGUUACUUUAGGGAUAACAGCGUAAUUUUCUUUGAGAGUUCUUAUCGACAAGAGUAGUUGCGACCUCGAUGUUGAAUUAAAAUUUUAGAAUGGUGUAGGUGCUAUUUAUAUGGGUCUGUUCGACCUUUAAAAUUUU